UUCUACCCUUAUCGGUGGAUCACUCGGCUCGUAAGUAUUGAGCACAAAAGUUUUGAACGCAAAUGGCCGCAUUGAGGUCAAACUCUUUGCAACGUCUGGUUCAGGGUCGCAAAUGGCCGCAUUGAGGUCAAACUCUUUGCAACGUCUGGUUCAGGGUCA
rnacentral:rRNA from 1 species